AGAGUUUGAUCAUGGCUCAGGAUGAACGCUAGCUACAGGCUUAACACAUGCAAGUCGAGGGGAAACGACAUCGAAAGCUUGCUUUUGAUGGGCGUCGACCGGCGCACGGGUGAGUAACGCGUAUCCAACCUGCCCAUCACUUGGGGAUAACCUUGCGAAAGUAAGACUAAUACCCAAUGACGUCUCUAGAAGACAUCUGAAAGAGAUUAAAGAUUUAUCGGCGAUGGAUGGGGAUGCGUCUGAUUAGCUUGUUGGCGGGGUAACGGCCCACCAAGGCGACGAUCAGUAGGGGUUCUGAGAGGAAGGUCCCCCACAUUGGAACUGAGACACGGUCCAAACUCCUACGGAGGCA
rnacentral:rRNA from 1 species